UCUUGACAUCCACGGAAUUUGGCAGAGAUGCNUUAGUGCCUUCGGGAACCGUGAGACAGGUGCUGCAUGGCUGUCGUCAGCUCGUGUUGUGAAAUGUUGGGUUAAGUCCCGCAACGAGCGCAACCCUUAUCCUUUGUUGCCAGCGAUUCGGUCGGGAACUCAAAGGAGACUGCCGGUGAUAAACCGGAGGAAGGUGGGGAUGACGUCAAGUCAUCAUGGCCCUUACGAGUAGGGCUACACACGUGCUACAAUGGCGCAUACAAAGAGAAGCGACCUCGCGAGAGCAAGCGGACCUCACAAAGUGCGUCGUAGUCCGGAUCGGAUACUGCAACUCGAC
rnacentral:rRNA from 1 species